CAAAAGCUUCAUUGCACUUUUAGCCAUCUAAAGGCCCAAGGCUGAUUUCACCAAAGCCCAUUCUAGAUUGCCCAGAGUCAUGGAGGGACUCAUAGAAUGGUCGGGGUUGAAAGAGGACUAUAAAGAUCACCCAGUUCCAACCCCCCUGCUGUGGACAGGGACACCUUCAACUAGACCAGCCUGCUCAGAACCCUAUCCAGCUUGGCCCUGAACACUUCCAGGGAUGGGGUAUCCACAACUUUCCAGUGCCUCACCACCCUCACAUAUAAUCUGCUAAAAUCCUUCUAUAAGCCAAUUAAAACAGGAAAGGAUUUUUAAAAGAGAAUUAAUCAAAGGGCAAACACAGCACAAAGCUGAAACAAAAUACUAUGGAUGCAAAUACCUAAGAUCCAGUGCUGCAGUUUCAGCCAAGUACAAAUGGUCACUGAUGGCAUGGCAUUUCAAAAAGAAAAAAAAAAGGAAAAAAAAGAAAAAAAAAGAGAAAAAGAAAAAACGUACACACUGUUACUGCUUCUUUGCAUCUUCAGGAAACUCAAGGACAUUAUCAAACUAUAUUUAUGCAAGCUGUGUUAGUUUUUUCCGGCCAAGGUACGUGAUUCAGUUUCCUUGAUGCAAGAGAUGAGAGUUGGCAGCCCAGAAGAGUUUGCAUAUGUUGUGUUGACAACAAUAGAAAUAAAUAGUCGAGGCUAUAUCUGAUGUAAUUCCAUAGCACUGUCUGAUUUCUUCAUAGAGAGAAAUGGUCCUAGGAGUGCCUGGGUAUACUCCAAAGAGGAAAAACAUAUGAAUAGUUAUAAAAACAAAAAAAAUAUGUGUGCAUAAAUGUAUGUUUUACAGAUAUAUUUUUAUGUUCCUUGGGAGUCAAAACUCAAAAAGAGUCAAACUUUUUAUGAAUAUAUGUGUAUGUACACACAUAUUCUAUGUCACCUGCUGUAUUUGAAUGAGAAGUGUCUUUUUUUUCAGCU